rnacentral:lncRNA from 1 species
AAGGUCAACUUAUCAAGAAUAUAUACAAUUUGGGGAUGCCUGGGUGGCUCAAUGGUUGAGCAUCUGCCUUCAGCUCAGGGUGUGAUCCCAGAGUCCAGGGAUCAAGUCCCACAUCAGGCUUCUUGAAUGCAGCCUGCUUCCUUUCCCUCUGCCUAUGUCUCUGCCUCUCUCUGUCUGUGUCUCUCAUGAAUAAACAAAUAAAAUCUUUUUCAAAAGAACAUAUACAAUUCUAAUUGUGUAGCAUCAAGCAACAGAACUGCAAAAUACAUGAAACAAAGACAGAAAUGAAAGGAGAAACAAAUACACAAUUAUAAUUAAAAACUUCAACAUCCCCUCUCAAUAGUUGAUAGGACAACUAGAUAGAACUCAACACCACCAUCAACCAACAGGAUCUGAUUGAUAUUUACCGAACACUCCAACAACAGUAGAAUGCAUAUUAUUUUUAAGUGUACAUGGGACAUACACCAACAUAGACCAUAUCCUGGGCCAUAAAACAAACCAACAAAAUUAGAAGAGUUAAAAUCAUACAUGGUAUAUUCAUUGACUACAAUUUUUAAAAAGAAUUUAUAACAAAGAUGACAAGAAACUCUUUAGACACUUGGAAACAAAACAACACAUUUGUAAAUAAUCCAUGAGUCAAAGAGGAAGUCUCAAGGGAAAUUUUUAAAAAUUCAUUGAACUCAAUGAAAAUGAAAAUACAACAUAUCAAAAUUUGUGGGCCCACAGUUAAGGCAGUGCUGACAGGAAAUAUAUAUAUUAAAGUUAGGCAUUGGAAAAGUCAACUGGGUGACUCAGUUGAUUGUCUGACUCUUGAUUUUGGCUCAGGUCAUGAUCUCAGAGUCAUGAAAUUGAGCUCCAUGUUAGGCUCCAUUGUCAGGGGCAGGGAGUCUGCUUGAGAUUCUCUCCCUUUCCCUCUGUCUAUCCCCACCGUGCUCACUCUCUCUCACAAGUAAAUAAACAGAUCUAAAAAGAAGAAAAAAGAGGGACACCUGGGUGGCUUAGUGGUUGUCUGUCUUUGGCUCAGGUCAUGCUCCUGGGGUCCUGGGAUGGAGUCCUGCAUCAGGCUUCCUGCAGGAAGCCUGCUUCUCCCUCUGCGUAUGUCUCUGCCUCUCUCUGUCUGUGUCUGUCAUGAAUAAAUAAAUAAAAUCUUUAGAAAAAAAAAA